UACGAAGGGGGCUAGCGUUGUUCGGAUUUACUGGGCGUAAAGCGCACGUAGGCGGAUCUUUAAGUCAGAGGUGAAAUCCCAAGGCUCAACCUUGGAACUGCCUUUGAUACUGGGGAUCUCGAGUCCGGGAGAGGUGAGUGGAACUGCGAGUGUAGAGGUGAAAUUCGUAGAUAUUCGCAAGAACACCAGUGGCGAAGGCGGUUCUCUGGGACGGUACUGACGCUGAGACGCGAAAGCGUGGGGAGCGAACAGG
rnacentral:rRNA from 1 species